UUAAAUAAGGGGAUAGCUUAGUUGGGAGAGUGUCAGACUGAAGAUACGAAGGUCACGUGUUCGAUCCAUGUUAUUAAUUAAA